rnacentral:rRNA from 1 species
CUGGCUCAGGAUGAACGCUAGCGACAGGCCUAACACAUGCAAGUCGAGGGGCAGCACAAGGAGCAAUCUGAGGUGGCGACCGGCGCACGGGUGAGUAACACGUAUGCAACCUGCCUGGUAAGCGGGGGAAUAACCCGUUGAAAGACGGACUAAUACCGCAUAAUACUAAAUUACUGCAUGGUAAUUUAUUUAAACAUUUAUGGCUUACAGAUGGGCAUGCGCAUGAUUAGCUAGUUGGAGAGGUAACGGCUCCCCAAGGCAACGAUCAUUAGGGGUUCUGAGAGGAAGGUCCCCCCACACUGGUACUGAGACACGGACCAGACUCCUACGGGAGGCAGCAGCGAGGAAUAUUGGUCAAUGGACGAGAGUCUGAACCAGCCAAGUCGCGUGCAGGAAGAAAAUGUCCUAUGGAUUGUAAACUGCUUUUGCAGGGGAAUAAAGUGCAUCACGUGUGAUGUUUUGUAUGUACUCUGCGAAUAAGGAUCGGCUAACUCCGUGCCAGCCGCGGC